CAUAUCAAUAAGGGGAGGAAAAGAAACUAACAAGGAUUCCCUUAGUAACGGCGAGUGAACAGGGAACAGCCCAAUCCUGAAGCUUGCUUUUGUGAGCGUUGUGGGAUAUGGGUACUUUAGCCAUGGUGCAGUGAGUGCGCUUAAAGUUUGUUGGAAUACAACACCAUAGAGGGUGAUAGUCCCAUUAAGGCGUCUCUUGCUGUAGCAAUUCUGGUUAUCGUACCUGGGAGUCGAGUUGUUUGAUAAUGCAACUCAAAGUGGGUGAUAAAUCUCAUCCAAGGCUAAAUAUGAGUACGAGUCCGAUAGCGAACAAGUACCGUGAGGGAAAGUUGAAAAGCACUUUGAAAAGAGAGUGAAAAGUACGUGAAACCGUUAAGAGGUAAACGGAUGGGAUGCCAAUGUACCUUAAUGCCACACUACUUAUAGUGAGGUGACAAAAGGUCGAAGCUGCUUUAGUAGCUACCGGAUUUGUCGUGAUUUCAGCUAAUUGUAAUUUCUUUUUGAAAUUCUUUUAGUGUUAUUGCGUACUAUCAACAGUUUAUUCCUACCGGAAUAUUGCUUACUAAAGGUGUGUCAAUAUCAGACCACUUGAUGUGGCUUCGUUUCGGUGUCCUAUCUGACCCGUCUUGAAACACGGACCAAGGAGUUUGUGUGGCUCGCAAGUCGUAGAGCAUAUUGUAAGCUCGAGGGCGCAAUGAAAGUAAUUGACUUUGAUUUGAGUAUUCACUUACUCUUUCUUUGUCAGUUGUGGUGAUAGCACCUAAGAGGUGUCGGGCAACCACGGACGGUCGACUAAUUGAAGUCGUACUGAUCUUUAGCGAGUCGCACAAGACCCGAAAGAUGGUGAUCUAUGCGUGGAGAGGGCGAAGCCACGGGAAACCAUGGUGGAGGCCCGAAGCGGUUCUGACGUGCAAAUCGAUCGUCUCAUCCGCGUAUAGGGGCGAAAGACUAAUCGAACCAUCUAGUAGCUGGUUCCCUCCGAAGUUUCCCUCAGGAUAGCAAGGGGUAACUCGAAAAGCUUUUGCAGUUUUAUCGGGUAAAGCGAAUGAUUAGAGGCAUGGGGGACUAUUUGUCCUUCACCUAUUCUCAAACUUUAAAUCGGUAAGAAGCCCUUGUGUCUUAAUUGCACCUGGGCCUUCUAUAUUAUAGAAUGCAAACCCCUUUGUGGGCCGUUUUUGGUAAGCAGAACCGGCGAUGUGGGAUGAACCAAACGUUGAGUUAAGGCGCCUAACUGUGUAGUCAUGAGCAACCACAAAAGGUGUUGAUUGAUAUAGACAGCCGGACGGUGACCAUGGAAGUUGGGAUCCGCUAAGGAGUGUGUAACAACUCACCGGCCGAAUCAAUCAGCCCUGAAAAUGGAUGGCGCUUGACCGCGCGGCCUAUACUCAACUGUGAGCAGCUUUAUAGUAAUGCGCUUCUUGAUUGGUCUGUCACUUGUUCUCAUCUUUUUGAGUCUUGUGCCUGUUCCUUUCUUGUUGUGCUCAUUUACUUACUAUUGGUGACUUGUGGUGCAUACAAAUUGUAUCAUACUUCUGCUCACAAGUAGGAGGGUGCACAGGUUGCGUUGAAGUGUAGGUGUGAACCUGCAUGGAGCAGCCUGUGGUACAGAUCUUGGUGGUAGUAGCAAGUACUCAAGUGAGAGCCUUGAGGGCCGAAGCGGGGAAGGCUUCCAUGUGAACAGCAAUUGGACAUGGGUUAGUCGGUCCUAAGCGACAGGCGAAAGCCCAUUAUUGAAUUGGGGUUCUUCAGCUUUACGUUGAGACCCAUUUGUCGCGAAAGGGAAUCGGGUUAAUAUUCCCGAACUUUGCCUAUCGGUGCACGGCGGCAACGCUAACGUGCCUGGAGAUGGCGGCAAGACCCCGGGGAAGAGUUCUCUUUUCUUUUUAACAACCGACGUCUCCUUGGAAUCGGAUUAUCCGGAGAUAAGGAACAAAGGUUGGCAGAGCACAGCAGCAUUUGCUGUGUCCCGCGUGGUCGUGACGUCCCUUGAAAAUCUGGGAACGUAGAUUACCAGUAGGCAAAGCCGUACCCACAACCGCAUCAGGUCCCCGAGGUGAGAAGCCUCUGGCCUUGAAACAGUGUAGGUAAGGGAAGUCGGCAAAAUAGAUCCGUACCUUCGGAAAAAGGAUUGGCUCUGAGGAUUGGGUGUAGCAUGCCUUAGGCCUGAGGUGGCUUGCUUUACUUGUCGGUUGGGAGACUCUUCAUUGGGUAUCCCGCUGACGAGUAGCGGCUGCCUUCUUGCCUCUGGUCAUUCUGCUGCACAUUAAACAAUCGAGCUCAGAACUGGCUCGGACAAGGGGAAUCCGACUGUUUAAUUAAAACAAAGCAUUGCGAUGGCUGGUGACUGGUGUUGACGCAAUGUGAUUUCUGCCCAGUGCUCUGAAUGUCAAAGUGAAGAAAUUCAAAUAAGCGCGGGUAAACGGCGGGAGUAACUAUGACUCUCUUAAGGUAGCCAAAUGCCUCGUCAUCUAAUUAGUGACGCGCAUGAAUGGAUUAACGAGAUUCCCACUGUCCCUAUCUACCAUUCAGCGAAACCACAGCUACGGGAACGGGCGUAGAAUAAUCAGCGGGGAAAGAAGACCCUGUUGAGCUUGACUCUAGUCUGACAUUGUGAAGUGGCUCGAAAGGUGUAGAAUAGGUGGGAGCCCUUAAAAGCGCAAGUGAAAUACCACUACUUUCGGUGUCAUUUUACUUAUCCAGUAGAAUGGAAAAGCUGAGGUUUUUACCAAGGCUCUAUUUUAGUUCAAACUUUACUCUGACCUUUGAGUUGGAUUAGUGAUCCUUUCUGGAUACACUGUCAGGUGGAGAGUUUGUCUGGGGCGGAACAUCUGUCAAAAGAUAACGCAGGUGUCCUAAGGCUGGCUCAGAGAGGACAGAAACCUCUCGUAGAGCAAAAGGGCAAAUGCCAGCUUGAUCUCGAUUUUCAGUGUGAAUACAGACUGCGAAAGCGUGGCCUAUCGAUCCUUUUGAUUUUAAUGAUUUUAAGCAAGAGGUGUCAGAAAAGUUACCACAGG
rnacentral:rRNA from 1 species